rnacentral:rRNA from 1 species
GAUGAACGCUGGCGGCGUGCCUAAUACAUGCAAGUCGAGCGGACGGACGAGAAUCUUGCGUCUCUGAUGUUAGCGGCGGACGUGUGAGUAACACGUGUAUAACCUCCCUAUAAUACUGGUAUAACUUCGGGAAACCGGAGCUAAUAGCGUAGGAGAUUUUGAACCGCAGUGUUGAAAAGUGAGAGACGGUGUUGCUGGCACUUAUAGAGGCAUCCGCGCUGUAUUAGCUAGUUGGUCAGGUAACGGCUUAUCACGGCAACGAGGCAUAGGCGACGGGAGAGGCGGAUAGGCGACCCUGGAACUUAGACACGGUCAUGACGACUACGGGAGGCACCAGAAGGCAACCUUCGGCAAUGGGGGAAAGCCUGACGGAGUAAGGCGGCGUCAGUGAUGGAGGUCUUCGGAUCGUAAAAAUCUGUUAUUAGGGAAGAACAUAUGUGUAAGUAAAUGAGCACAUAGUGACGGUACCUAAUCAGAAAGCAACGGCUAACUACGUG